UGGGGAAUAUUGCGCAAUGGGGGCAACCCUGACGCAGCAACGCCGCGUGCGGGACGACGGCCUUCGGGUUGUAAACCGCUUUCAGCAGGGAAGAUAGUGACGGUACCUGCACAAGAAGCCCCGGAUAACUACGUGCCAGCAGCCGCGGUAAUACGUAGGGGGCGAGCGUUAUCCGGAUUCAUUGGGCGUAAAGCGCGCGCAGGCGGCUCUUCAAGCGGAACCUCUAACCCCGGGGCUUAACCUCGGGCCGGGUUCCGAACUGGAGGGCUCGAGUGCGGGAGAGGCAGGCGGAAUUCCCGGUGUAGCGGUGGAAUGCUCAGAUAUCGGGAGGAACACCGAUGGCGAAGGCAGCCUGCUGGGCCGGCACUGACGCUGAGGCGCGAAAGCUAGGGGAGCGAACAGG
rnacentral:rRNA from 1 species